CCACCGCAUUACACUGACACUCGUGACAGAUGGAGAGUUGGUUCAGAGUAUUUAAUAUUACAGUACUGGAUUCACAAUAGCCUAUUGUCAUCAGUUUAUAUAGGGCUUUGCAAGCUAAUUCCAUCCAACAGUGGCCAACCAUUAUUGAGUGUCACUCCCAACAACAAUAGUAUCACCCUAUUUGGUAUAGUGUUGCACCCUAGUCAGUAUAUUCGAUCAUGUACUCCUUCUAAGAUUAGCACCAGUGGCCCCCAAGCUAUCUUGGCAAACCGCAGACCUUCUGGCAUCCACCUUGACAGAAAUAAAUACAUGGAAUGUCCUCAUCCUCCCAAUCCUUAUGCAGCUCAUAUGAUCAAAGACAUUAACAAAUACUUUAUAAAAAGACGUCAUAUCAGUCUGUCAGUGCAAGACUUUGGGGAUUUUCCCAGGGCACACAUGCAGGUAACGGCACUGACAGCCAAGUUGCGUAGGUGGUAGCGGAACUAUAAAUUCGAUGUAUAUCAUUAAGAAGAAAUAAGGUUACUUUAGACUUUGUAGUCGUGGUUUGAUAUGGAGACGUGCGCAAGGAACCGCGAGAUUCCUGAAGACACCGUGAUUUCAAUGGCGCAGCAAGAGACUGUUUUUCUUUUGCUCAAACACUGUCAAGAAAUGAAGCGACAGGAGAGUCGCUGGCGUCUUGUCACGUUAUUCUUGGUUCUGGGCUGUGCAGCUGUAUUUUUCUUUACGCAGCGUGUGAUCAGAGACUGUAUUGAGAAGGUAAGCAAUGGGACAUCCACAUGUUUUUAACGGGGCACACAAAUGCCGGAGAGCUUUGGCAUUGGAUUUAAAUGGAACCUUAACUUCUGUGGGUCACCAUUAAUAGUUAACUUGUCUUUGUUUUUGUAGGAUACAUUCACAACUGCAGAAAACUCAAGACAGCAAGCUAUAGAUCGUCAAGGACAGAAUCCGAAGCCAAACGCUCACCUGACAACAUCAUCAAGCUGCAACUCCGUGCCUAAAGACUACAUCCAAUGGGAACACCAGGACACUGGCUUGGUGCACAUGCAGAAUUUCACCUAUGACGAGAGCAAGCAAGCUCUGGUUGUCCCUCAGGAAGGCCGAUACUUUGUCUAUGUGGGGGUCAACUUUCGAAUGCCAGAUAAGGACAAGGUAUCUGGCGAGGUCCAUUUUCUUAGCCUGAAAGUCCUGAAAUACUCCAUUAGCUAUGAAAAUAAUUGGCCUAUCAUGGAAGUCAAGGAUAGCAUACCAGAUGAUAGGAGAGGAGAGAGAAGGACAAUGUACACAGGACAGGUGGUCACCCUGGAGGAAGGGGAUCUCCUGAUGGUGUCCAUUGAUGAAGACAAUUAUGGACUGAUUGACUGUUCAGCAGAGACCACCAUGUAUAUUGGUGCUUUUCUCCUCUAGACAAGGAGAACGUGUCUGUACCAAAAAUAUGCAGUCUUUGUGGAUUUUUUGUUAUUCAAUUCCAUGCUUACUUUUAGUAAGACCAGUGCACGUUUCAAGGCACAUUUUUAAAUCCUUGUGGAUACAAUACACCUGUAACAUGCAGGUAUUAGUUAAGGCUUUCCUUCUGACAAAAAUGACCUUGUUAAUUUCUUUGUAAAUCUAUUCAUACAAUGAUUU